rnacentral:lncRNA from 1 species
GGAAAAAGAGGAGAAAAAAUAGGAGGACAAGAAAAAAAGAAGAGAGAGGAGGGAGCAGUAUACAUGCGAUAUACACUCUGUAUAUAUACAGUAUACACGGACAUAAUUUAGUUUUGGAGAGUUUCUUUUGAGAGUUGAAGAGAGUUUAAGCUAAGAAAUCUGACUUCUAACUUUGGGUGCAUUCGAGUGGUCUACUAGUUGAUUUAUUAGUUCUGCUUAAGUUUUGAACUUCUCCUGGGUUGGUCAAAUUCAUUUCCUGGGUUGGUCAAAUUCAUUUCUUGGGUUGUUGUCGAUCUCUACUGUUUCAUUGCUGUGAUUAGGAGUAUUGCUUGUUGCUUUGUUGGUGAUUCUGUCUCUUUUGCUUUUUUUAUAUUCGAAUUCCAGAUACACAUUUGAAUUCACACUGAUGUAGUUUCACCUGAAAUGAAAAUUGAAGCCUAUUCUCUGCUAUGGAUUUACAAUUCAACAAUUCUAUUAUAAUUUAGAUAGUUUUAUUUUUU